CUACAGCCCACCGGGUUAGCUCUAGAUUUUCAGCUGUCACAGAGCUGUGACUUUUCCCACCUUGUCAAGCAGUAACCUCCUGGACAUCUUUGUAUGCUCAGAAUAGAAGAAAUAAACCUGCCACUCUGCUAGAAAACAAGGGAGGAAAGAAACUAGGCAUUGUCUCAUCUUUGGUAUUUCAGGCAAUAUAGGUUUCCGAUCUCAGUUCUAAAAGAGAAGAUGUACACGAGCAAGUCUUCAGUGCCUCUACUCCUAUAGCUUCUGUGACCUAUUUAGCUCUAAGGGAGGGCAAGUCACUGUAUGCCCAGAGAUGAAGUUGAGAGGACACAACUGAAAUGGCUGCAGCAUGUAGAAGAAGAAUCAAAAUGAAGGUAAUUUGAUAAGUAUUAACAAGCAUGUGGUACCCAUGAGCCUGGAGGAGCGGGAAGGGAGAGGAGAAUGCAGUGAGGAUAGUAGAUGGAAGAGCAGGAAGGCUCUCUAAACUCGAAUUAAAAUUUCGUUUUUUCCCCUUCUGUGGAACAGGAAAUCUUUUAGAAGUAAUAGUGAAAUAUUUUGAGACCUCAGGAUCAAAACCAAAGCUCAUGUGCAGGAGGACAUCUGGGUAUAAAUGGAUUUAAUGGCCUUUGUUCUUUCCUCCCUUGACUCCACACAUGCAAAUCCUACUAUACACAGGCUAACACAACUAGCCAGGCUUGUGCUCUUCAGAGCAAUUUUAGAAGCCUUCUCCCUUUCCAUCUGUUAUUCAGAACCACCCCAACUUGUUCUGAGCAGAGCUUGCUUUCAGAAGGGCACUAUUUGCCCCACAGGAAAAUCAACUCAAAGUUCAAAAUCUCUUCACUCCUACAUUACAGAACAGCUUUGCCACAUUUAAAUCUGCCUGGCAGCGUGGCCAAGCAGAAAUAGUCACUCUGGUGUCAAAAGAAGGCUCCAUGUUCUUUCUCCCAUUGCUGGAGGGAUGAGAAGAAGGAAGACCAGGAGAUCUGUCACAGAGAACAGCAGUGAUGUCCUCGCUCUCAGGCUUUUUAAAAUCUGCAGGAUUUUAAAUGCAUAGAAACAUGCAGUGCUCCAGAGGCCCUGUACCACAGCAAAGGAUGUGAACUGACUUUGUAGGGCACCUGCAGGAAUGGGGAGAGCAGUGAGGAAGCCUUGCUCCAGAACCCACUCCCGGGUGGAAAAAUGUACCAGCUGGUUGUUCUAAAGCAGGAUUUUCAGCCUGUUUCUAACAAAUUUGUCUGAAAUGAAGAUGAAAAGUGAGAUCUGAAGCAGGAAGGAAGAGAAUAAGCAGAUGGACUGUGGUAGAAACCACAACACUGAUAAAAUUAAUUUCCUGUGUCUUCUGUGGGCAAAGGAGAGGAAAUACAGGUUAAAGUACUCUACAAUUGGAUAACAAAUUAAAGCACUGCCUAAUCUCUAACUAGGUUACUGUGCAUCCAAGGGCAACAGCAGUCUACCUAGUCAUCUGCAAUGGAAUACUAAAGCUAAAAUGUUGUCUUUUCACAAGGCUGUGACAGGAAAUGUAGAAGCAAUGGCUAAUUCCUGACCUUGAAAAGAGUGUGCUAGCAGUUUGCCUAGUUAUGAACAAAAGAAAAAAAAAGAAGAAAGCAAACACAUACUGAUGUAAAAAGAGGUUGUAAAAAUAUCUGAGCAAGAAAGCUUCAGUGCAGCUCUUUCUGUAAGAAAGCAUUGGGAGUGACAAAAGAUCUGGCUCCUCUUGAACCACAGAUUCAAUUUGAGCACAUGAAGUACUACAGUCUGGGCACUCCUCCUUAUUAUCACUAAGACAAUUGUUAAUGCAGCACCGCUCACCACUAAUUUAAACGGAUUGCAUAUAACUGGUUCCUCCAGAAAAUACUGGUUCACCACCUCGGCUGCCUGACUGCUUCUGUGCAACCUCAGAUCAAAAGGCAGAGGACAAAAAGAACAAUGAGUUCAGUACUGCAGAGCCCUGCUGCAGCUGCCCUCCUAAGUCAAACAGCAUUGAACAUCAAGCAAGAAUCUUCAUGUUUUGUUUCAGUGAUGGACCCUUGUUUUGAAGUCAGUUGAAGAGUUAAUUAGGCAGGAUGUUACCUACUGGCCCAUAAUGUGAGUUGGUACACUCCAGGGCAGCCAUUCCACCAGUUCUCUUUCACAAAUUUCAUAAGCUCACCAUUAAAUCUAAUCUUCAAGGAAUUAGUAUUCUUAGUGCUACCCUUUGAAAA